CCCGCCCGGAUAUAUUUGCCGGCCCGUGCGCGGAGUUGAGUUGGGAGGGUGCGUUCAGGGUUUCGUUAAACCUUCGUCGUUCGUCGCGUUCUUCUUAAACAAUCUCUUUGACUAUACCGCAGGUACUACCCUCCUCUGAAACACCUCCGGAUGCACGAGUUCUUGCGGAUGUUCCUCUUCGACUCCGCGUACCUGGUUCGGCUUCGGCGCCGCCGCCGCGAGCUGCCGCGCUUCUCGUCCUUCCUGUACCUCCGGCGGCCGCGGCGACCUCUCUUAUUCCGACGACAACCACCACCACGCUCGUCGUCCCCUCCGAAGAAACCGGAGUAGUUCUUCUUCCACGUGGGGUUUGGGUUUCGUCGCCGCCGAUGAAGGAGAACUAAUAUAACGACAAGACUGUACGGUGCUUCAACAUUCGGUGUCGACGAUCUCGACGGCGCGGAAAGAAGAUCGAUCCUAGUCCUCGCCCACACAUCUCAAACAACAAAGCUAGUCGAAGAGAACCUUCUCACACACAUUUCGUUCAAGAAAACAAUAAACCAGUUUUUUUCAACUGUUUUUGAUUCGCUUCUCAUUAGGACGUAGUUAACUCAACUGGAGGCAAAGAUGAACAGAACCGACAAACCAAGGAGCAAGCAA
rnacentral:rRNA from 1 species